UAGGGAAUAUUGGGCAAUGGACGGAAGUCUGACCCAGCCAUGCCGCGUGCAGGAAGAAGGUCCUCUGGAUUGUAAACUGCUUUAGAUCGGGAAGAAUAAGAAUCCUGCGGGGUUUGAUGACGGUACCGAUAGAAUAAGCACCGGCUAACUACGUGCCAGCAGCCGCGGUAAUACGUAGGGUGCGAGCGUUGUCCGGAUUUAUUGGGUUUAAAGGGUGCGUAGGCGGGGAGAUAAGUCAGCCUUUAAAGCCAGCCGCUUAACGGUUCGGUAGGGGGCUGAUACUGUUUUUCUUGAGAGGGCUCGGCGCUGGCGGAAUUUGUGGUGUAGCGGUGAAAUGCAUAGAUACCACAAGGAACACCAAUCGCGUAGGCAGCUAGCGAGGGCCUUUCUGACGCUGAGGCACGAAAGUGCGGGGAGCAAACAGG
rnacentral:rRNA from 1 species